CCUCUACAGCCACCUUUCAUCGAGAAGAGUCAUGUGAAUACUAUGAGUCUUUAUUGGAAGAGGCUCCUCCCCUCCUCUACAGCCACCUUUCAUUGAGAAGAGUCAUGUGAAUACUACGAGUCUUUAUUGGAAGAGGCUCCUCCCCUCCUCUACAGCCACCUUUCAUUGAGAAGAGUCAUGUGAAUACUACGAGUCUUUAUUGGAAGAGGCUCCUCCCCUCCUCUACAGCCACCUUUCAUUGAGAAGAGUCAUGUGAAUACUACGAGUCUUUACUUGGAAGAGGUUUGGAAUCUGCCUCACCCCCUUUGAAUCAGUGUUUGUUUUGUCUGUAUGCUUUUCUCCUUCAGACGUGUUAAAA